AUUUUAAACCAAAUCGUAAACCGUAUCACUCCACUUUACAGUUUUGACGCGGUUUUAACCGUAAAAUUGUAAAUCGCUUAUCAAUUAAAAAAACAGUAAAUGAUAAGUAAAAAAAUGCUGAUUCUUUUUUCCUUUAUAUAUUUAUGUAUGAUAUUUGUAAGUACGACACAACAAGAUCUGAAAAAAUAAAAUGUAACUCGUCUUUUUUUCUUCCAUUCUAGGUGAUCUUCCAUUCCAAUUUCUUGAAUUUCAUUAAUUGAACUUCACAUACUGAUUGAACACCAUUAAUUCUCUGCAAACAUAUCCUGAACUCCAUUAACGCUCACAUAUCUUAAAUUUUCAAAAAGUUAGAUCAUGAAGCAGCAAACCAACAAUAUCAUUAAUACAACCAUGAACCAACACUAUGAAUCAUCUAAUAAAUCAACAACAGAACAACAGCAUCAUCAUCCAAAAACUAUUAACGACUUUAAAGGGAAGAGACUUAUUACCUAAAAAAUCUUACAUGCUCUCGGCACAAUAGAAGCCUCACAAGUAUGAGUGGGAGUGGGAGUAGCAUGACGACGAAAAUGGGAAAAGUCACUUAUCUCACGAUUCUUAAAACAUUACUCAAUUCUGAAAUUUAAAAGAUAUCUAUAUAAAAAAUUAUAAAUAAAAAUAAUACCAUAACUAUAAAAAAUGAGAAGCUAAGAAGUAACUGUAAAAAAUGUGACACUCCCUUCUAUGCAUUGCACUUGAUUUCUGACAAGAACAUAAAAGUUCUGGUGAAAAAAAAAUGAUGAUAUUAACAAAGCAAUAAAAGCAAAAGGCCAAAUUAACUACACACUUAACAAGUAACAACUAAGAUAAAACAUGGAACUUAAUUAACUAUGUAGAACAUUAUGAAAAGGAAUUGAGAAACUAAGCUUACCCUUAAACGAGUUAUUGUGUCGUGGUCGCCGGAUCGGAGGUUAGAGCUGUAGUCGGAAACCGGAAAAGAAGAAGCGAACAGAAGUGAAGUCUCGUCGAUCUACAAGAAAAAGAAGCAAAGUUAUUGUCUCGUCAAUUGUUGUCGUUUCAUCGAUCGCCGCCACAUCUAUUUGGGGAAAAAAUUUGAGGCGGAGGAUUCAAGUAUGGUGGGAAUUGGAGAUUUGGAUGCUCACCUUUUAGAUUUUAAAACUAAAACGGUAGAUAUGGAAAUCGGCGAAGAAGAAGCAAACUGAGGCUGAAUUUACAAAAAAAAAAGAAAAAAAAGAGGAAGAAGAAGCAAAAUAGUGAAAAAUAGGGAUUUUAGUAUUUCACUGUUUAGAUUUGUAUGUUUUUCAUUUAUCUUUCUUUCACUUGCGGUUUGCGAUUUUAAAUUAGAAAUCGUGAUUUUAAAUCAAAUCUAAUUGUAUAUUAUUAAUUGGGAAAAAAACCACACUGCACGUUAAAUUGCAAUACGAUACGAUGCGAUCACAAAAUAAAUAAAUUACAAUUCGAUGCGAUGCGGGUAAACCAAUUUAAUACCCACCCUAAUACCUCCCACUUCUGAGGAAUUGAGGUUGGCAUGCAGCUCGACAGGUUUCCAUUGAGGUAUGAA
rnacentral:lncRNA from 1 species